CAGAGGGUGCAAGCGUUGUUCGGAAUUAUUGGGCGUAAAGGGCGCGUAGGCGGUGCGAUAAGUCUUUUGUGAAAUCUCCGGGCUCAACUCGGAGUCUGCAGGAGAAACUGCCGUGCUUGAGUAUGGGAGAGGUGAGUGGAAUUCCUGGUGUAGCGGUGAAAUGCGUAGAUAUCAGGAGGAACACCUGUGGCGAAAGCGGCUCACUGGACCAUUACUGACGCUGAUGCGCGAAAGCUAGGGGAGCAAACAGGAUUAGAUACCCUGGUAGUCCUAGCCCUAAACGAUGAUUGCUUGGUGUGGCAGGUACCCAAUCCUGCUGUGCCGAAGCUAACGCGAUAAGCAAUCCGCCUGGGGAGUACGGUCGCAAGGCUG
rnacentral:rRNA from 1 species